AUUGGCAGCCAUAUCACCCUGCAACUCACACUGGACAACCCACUGAAGCUAAGCAGGUAUGAGCCUGGUCAGUACCUGGAUGGGAAACCUCCUGGGAAAAACUAAGGUUGCUGCUAGAA
rnacentral:rRNA from 1 species